rnacentral:rRNA from 1 species
GACGAACGCUGGCGGUGUGCUUAACACAUGCAAGUCGAACGGAAAGGCCCUGCUUUUGUGGGGUGCUCGAGUGGCGAACGGGUGAGUAACACGUGAGUAACCUGCCCUUGACUUUGGGAUAACUUCAGGAAACUGGGGCUAAUACCGGAUAGGAGCUCCUGCUGCAUGGUGGGGGUUGGAAAGUUUCGGCGGUUGGGGAUGGACUCGCGGCUUAUCAGCUUGUUGGGGGGGUAGUGGCUUACCAAGGCUUUGACGGGUAGCCGGCCUGAGAGGGUGCCCGGCCACAUUGGGACUGAGAUACGGCCCAUACUCAUGCGGGAGGCAGCAGUGGGGGAUAUUGCGCAAUGGACGGAAGCCUGAUGCAGCGACGCCGCGUGCAGGAUGACGGCCUUAGGGUUGUAAACCGCUUUCGCCUGUGACGAAGCGUGAGUGACGGUAAUGGGUAAAGAAGCACCGGCUAACUACGUG